rnacentral:rRNA from 1 species
UCGAGACCCUAGCGGCGGACGGGUGAGUAACACGUAGGCAACCUGCCUGUAAGACUGGGAUAACAUAGGGAAACUUAUGCUAAUACCGGAUAGGGUUUUGCUUCGCCUGAAGCGAAACGGAAAGAUGGCGCAAGCUAUCACUUACAGAUGGGCCUGCGGCGCAUUAGCUAGUUGGUGAGGUAACGGCUCACCAAGGCNACGAUGCGUAGCCGACCUGAGAGGGUGACCGGCCACACUGGGACUGAGACACGGCCCAGACUCCUACGGGAGGCAGCAGUAGGGAAUUUUCCACAAUGGACGAAAGUCUGAUGGAGCAACGCCGCGUGAACGAUGAAGGCUUUCGGGUCGUAAAGUUCUGUUGUUAGGGAAGAAACAGUGCUAUUUAAAUAAGGUAGCACCUUGACGGUACCUAACGAGAAAGCCACGGCUAACUACGUGCCAGCAGCCGCGGUAAUACGUAGGUGGCAAGCGUUGUCCGGAAUUAUUGGGCGUAAAGCGCGCGCAGGUGGCUAUGUAAGUCUGAUGUUAAAGCCCGAGGCUCAACCUCGGUUCGCAUUGGAAACUGUGUAGCUUGAGUGCAGGAGAGGAAAGUGGUAUUCCACGUGUAGCGGUGAAAUGCGUAGAGAUGUGGAGGAACACCAGUGGCGAAGGCGACU